rnacentral:tRNA from 1 species
AGGAUAAUAGUUUAAAUAAAAUAUUUGAUUUGCAUUCAAAUGAUACAUUUUGUUUAUCUUA